rnacentral:rRNA from 1 species
CACAUGCAGUCGAGCGGGGAGUCACCAGGGGAGCUUGCUCUCGGGUGACGAGCGGCGGACGGGUGAGUAAUGUCUGGGAACUGCCUGAUGGAGGGGGAUAACUACUGGAAACGGUAGCUAAUACCGCAUAACGUCGCAAGACCAAAGUGGGGGACCUUCGGGCCUCAUGCCAUCAGAUGUGCCCAGAUGGGAUUAGCUAGUAGGUGGGGUAAUGGCUCACCUAGGCGACGAUCCCUAGCUGGUCUGAGAGGAUGACCAGCCACACUGGAACUGAGACACGGUCCAGACUCCUACGGGAGGCAGCAGUGGGGAAUAUUGCACAAUGGGCGCAAGCCUGAUGCAGCCAUGCCGCGUGUAUGAGAAGGCCUUCGGGUUGUAAAGUACUUUCAGCGAGAGGAGGCGUUUAGGUUAUAACCUUGGGUGAUGACGUUUCUCGCAGAGAGUAGCGGCUACUCGUGCAGCAGCGCGUAUACGGAGGGGCAGCGUAUCGGAUACUGGCGUAAGCGCACGCGGCGGCCUGUAGUCAGAUGUGAAUCCCGGGCUCACGGGACUG